rnacentral:rRNA from 1 species
GACGAACGCUGGCGGCGUGCUUAACACAUGCAAGUCGAACGGAAAGGCUCCAGCUUGCUGGAGUACUCGAGUGGCGAACGGGCGAGUAACACGUGGGUAAUCUGCCCUGCACUCUGGGAUAAGCCUGGGAAACUGGGUCUAAUACUGGAUAUGACCUUUCUCCUUAUGGGGUUUGGUGGAAAGUUUUUCGGUGUAGGAUGAGCCCGCGGCCUAUCAGCUUGUUGGUGGGGUGAUGGCCUACCAAGGCGACGACGGGUAGCCGGCCUGAGAGGGUGAUCGGCCACAUUGGGACUGAGAUACGGCCCAGACUCCUACGGGAGGCAGCAGUGGGGAAUAUUGCACAAUGGGCGGAAGCCUGAUGCAGCGACGCCGCGUGAGGGAUGACGGCCUUCGGGUUGUAAACCUCUUUCAGCAGGGACGAAGCGUAAGUGACGGUACCUGCAGAAGAAGCACCGGCUAACUACGUG